UAUAUUUUUAUUAGUGCAAAGGCUCCAAUAGUUGGCACCUAAAGGAUAUCCUAAAGGGAGUCAAAUAACUAAAAAAAUAAGGAUUCCUAAUGCAAGUAGGAGUUGUAUUAAGUGGUUAUUUAGUUUUGAAUAGGAUUCAAACCUCAUGCCUAUUUAAAGGAGCCUUCUCUAAAGUCUCUAGGCACUUCAACCAGCAACCCUACGCCCCC
rnacentral:lncRNA from 1 species